AAACCCAUUUUGUCUUUCCAGGUAAAAUGCAAAGUCCUUGUUGAAGAAGGACAAGGCACUAGCAUCCUCUAGAAUCAUCAUACACUCAUCCAGCCAACAAUUAGGUAAAAUUACACCAAAAAGAUACCGCAUGCUCUCUGCCAUUCAACAAAUUUCCUCAUCUUAUACCCAGAUACCCCAUUUUGCAAACACUAAACCCAUCAUGGUCAACAUAUAGAGCCAACUCCUCAUUCCAUCACCAGUAU
rnacentral:misc_RNA from 1 species